AUUGAACGCUGGCGGCAGGCCUAACACAUGCAAGUCGAACGAGUGGCGGACGGGUGUGUAGUGUCUGGGAAACUGCCUGCUGGAGGGGGAUAACUACUGGAAACGGUAGCUAAUACCGCAUACCAUCGGAUGUGCCCCUAUGGGAGUAUCUAGUAGGUGGGGUAAAGGCUCCCCUAGGCGACGAUCCCUAGCUGGUCUGAGAGGAGGACCAGCCACACUGGAACUGAGACACGGUCCAGACUCCUACGGGAGGCAGCAGUGGGGAAGAUUGCACAAUGGGCGCAAGCCUGAUGCAGCCACGCCGCGUGUAAGAAGAAGGCCUUCGGGUUGGAAAGUACUUUCAGCGGGGAGGCGUUACCCGCAGAAGAAGCAACGGCUAACUCCGUGCCAGCAGCCGCGGUAAUUC
rnacentral:rRNA from 1 species